AGGUCAAGCUACAAAGGGCGCAGGGUGAAUGCCUUGGCACUAGGAGCCGAAGAAGGACGUGAUAAGCUGCGAUAAGCUUUGGGUAGACGCAAAUAGUCUGUGAUCCAAAGAUUUCCGAAUGGGGGA
rnacentral:rRNA from 1 species